CAGCAUAGAACAUUGAGUCAAUAAUAUCGAGAUGCAAGAGAAAAGUGUCCUUGCCCUUUCUGUCUGUCUGAUUGUGGCAGACAAGAUUGAAUGAGGGAAUACGGGG
rnacentral:snoRNA from 1 species